rnacentral:misc_RNA from 1 species
GAUGAAGAACGCAGCGAAAUGCGAUAAGUAGUGUGAAUUGCAGAAUUCAGUGAAUCAUCGAAUCUUUGAACGCACAUUGCGCCCCUUGGUAUUCCAUGGGGCAUGCCUGUUCGAGCGUCAUUUGUACCUUCAAGCUUUGCUUGGUGUUGGGUGUUUGUCCAUUCCCUUGCAGAGGGACUCGCCUUAAAGUAAUUGGCAGCCAGUGUUUUGGUUUUGAAGCGCAGCACAAGUCGCGAUUCAACGCUAUACGCCAGCUUCCACAAGCCUUUUUCACUUUUGACCUCGGAUCAGGUAGGGAUACCCGCUGAACUUAAGCAUAUUAAUAAGCGGAGGA